GAUGUACGCCGGCGGCGUGCCUAAUACAUGCAAGUCGAGCGAACAGACGAGGAGCUUGCUCCUCUGACGUUAGCGGCGGACGGGUGAGUAACACGUGGAUAACCUACCUAUAAGACUGGGAUAACUUCGGGAAACCGGAGCUAAUACCGGAUAAUAUAUUGAACCGCAUGGUUCAAUAGUGAAAGACGGUUUUGCUGUCACUUAUAGAUGGAUCCGCGCCGCAUUAGCUAGUUGGUAAGGUAACGGCUUACCAAGGCAACGAUGCGUAGCCGACCUGAGAGGGUGAUCGGCCACACUGGAACUGAGACACGGUCCAGACUCCUACGGGAGGCAGCAGUAGGGAGUCUUCCGCAAUGGGCGAAAGCCUGACGGAGCAACGCCGCGUGAGUGAUGAAGGUCUUCGGAUCGUAAAACUCUGUUAUUAGGGAAGAACAAAUGUGUAAGUAACUAUGCACGUCUUGACGGUACCUAAUCAGAGAGCCACGGCUAGCUACGUG
rnacentral:rRNA from 1 species